CCCACCGCAUUGCCUUUGCAAUGGUGCAACACCCAAAGGAACGACCCACAGGUGUCCUACAGCCACACUGGGUGCAGCAAACACACCCCACUGCCAUUGCAGUGCUGCAGAAUAUCAAAGGCCAAUGCAACAAACCCACCCCAUUGGCUUUGCAAUGGUGCAACACCCAAAGGCCCAACCCACACAUGUCCUACAGACGCACCGGGUGCAGCAAACACACCCCACUGACGUUGCAAUGGUGCAAAACCCAAAGGGUCAAUGCCACAAACCCACCCCACUGGCUUUGUGAUGACCCAUAACCCAAAGGACCAACACAACAAACCCACCCUAUUGCCUUUGCAAUGGUGCAGUACCCGAAGAGCUGACCCACAUAUAUCCCACAGCCACACCGGGUGCAACAAACCCACCCCAGUGCCUUUGCAAUGGUGCAAAAUACAGAGGGCUGACCCACAACGUGUCCUACAGCUGCACCAGGUGCAGCAAACCCAAACCAUUGCCUUUGCAAUGGUGCAACACCCAAAGAGCUGACCCACAUAUAUCCUACAGGCGCACCGGGUGCAGCAAACACACCCCACUGACUGUGCAAUGGUGCAAAACCCAAAGAGUCGAUGCCACAAACCCACCCCAUUGGCUUUGCAAUGGUGCAACACCCAAAGGAACGACCCACAGGUGUCCUACAGCCACACUGGGUGCAGCAAACACACCCCACUGCCAUUGCAGUGCUGCAGAAUAUCAAAG
ensembl:lncRNA